AUGCAUUCUCCAUGCAAUGAUGCCAACUCCUCCUUACAGUGUAUCUGCUCUGUGUAUGCUACAGUAAAAGGAGUUUGUGAGUCAGCAGACGGCGGGAAGCACCAGGGCAGAGGAGCAGCUGAGCUGUGUUGCGCCGCCAAGCGCUGUGCUGUCCCCCUCCUGCUCCCAGGCCCUCCUGCUGCCAUCAGCACCCACCUCCCCUCGGAGUUAUCCUUCUGCUUCGGGACUGUUCUCACAGCAUUUAGUGUCAGCUGCCUGCCCUGCUGUGUAAGAAAGAACACAAGGUAAGUUGAGGACACGUUAUUCCCAAAUGACCUAAUUUCAGCAUUGGCCUUUGGCCUUUGUGAGGGCAUGGGCAUGACCAUUGGAUGAGUCAGAGUUUCUGGAAUUUUCCCAGUCAGUGGUGCCUUAAAGGAAGACAUCUUUUCCUCAAUUGAGAGUUUGCCCUUCCAGGCAGAAGCGGGGAAAAGUCCCUUUUCUUUGUUCUUCUAUUCUGGAUUUCCAGUCAUAUGUUUAGACUUGCUUCUAGCAAAAUAGUAUCCUGUAGGGUUAUCAGCUCUUCUCAGUUAGUCUGAGACUGUCCUGAUUUUAAAACUGAAAGUCCCAUGUAUCAGGAAUUCCCUCUGUCUCAGGUGAACUGGGGUGGUUGGUCCCCUAAUCUUAGGUCCAGAGAUGAGCGUACAUUCGUAGGGUGAUGCUUCUCUUGGACAUUAAAGAGUGUUUGAAUGGUUGUGUCCAGAAAAUUGUGUUUUGACAAAGUCAAAGGGUAUUAAGUGAUUUCCUUAUUCAGAUUUAGACUACAGUGAAAAUAUUCAAACCAUACUGUUUUUGUUAAUACUAGUUAUGUAAUGCAUUAAGAGAAGGGUUUGUUGCAUCAGCAGUGGCUUUAAUUGGGCUGAGCCAGGAGAACCUGAAAAGAACUAUUCUUCAAGGCAUGUUUAUAAAACCUUCUGGGUUCAUAGUGACACAUAAGCCCCAAUCAGCUUCUUACAGUUGGCAUUGAUCCCUUGGUGUGCCUGUCUGCAAAAUAGACUGUGCUUACCUAAAAUAUUUGAGAUUUGCAUUGUAUUUCCUUACAGUUAUGCUACCUGCUAUGAUAAACAACCCCCCAAGUGUAUAAUUACUCAGUGCAAUAAAAGCAAAUUUCUUAUUUACA
rnacentral:lncRNA from 1 species